rnacentral:rRNA from 1 species
GUAGCUUACCAGAAAGGGACGGCUACUACGUGCCAGCAGCCGCGGUAAUACGUAGGUCCCGAGCGUUGUCCGGAUUUAUUGGGCGUAAAGCGAGCGCAGGCGGUUUGAUAAGUCUGAAGUUAAAGGCUGUGGCUCAACCAUAGUUCGCUUUGGAAACUGUCAAACUUGAGUGCAGAAGGGGAGAGUGGAAUUCCAUGUGUAGCGGUGAAAUGCGUAGAUAUAUGGAGGAACACCGGUGGCGAAAGCGGCUCUCUGGUCUGUAACUGACGCUGAGGCUCGAAAGCGUGGGGAGCGAACAGGAUUAGAUACCCUGGUAGUCCACGCCGUAAACGAUGAGUGCUAGGUGUUGGAUCCUUUCCGGGAUUAAGUGCCGCACCUAACGCAUAAGCACUCCGCCUGGGGAGUACGACCGCAAGGUUGAAACUCAAAGGAAUUGACGGGGGCCCGCACAAGCGGUGGAGCAUGUGGUUUAAUUCGAAGC